rnacentral:sRNA from 1 species
CUCUUGAUGGCCCGGGGGCUGCCUAGUCCACUGGUCUUCCUAUACUCAGAGCAAGGGACUGACAUCCGGAAACUCGCUUGAGAGCCGCAGUCAUCAUCGGACCCAGAGGACUCAUCCACAAAAGGCACGUUGCUGAUCUGUGUGGCUUUCUGCAAGAGAGGAGCCUCCCCAACUACAGCUUCGAAACAAGCCCUCUUCCACACAACAGCUGUAUCUACUUUGGCAGUCCUCCAUGCCUGCUGCACCCAGGGAACGGGGGCCAGGCCCAUAAGGAGAUCUGUAGGCCUCCACACACCACUUGUACUCACCGAAACAGGAAGCAGUAUUUCGGGACGACACAUCUGACAGCUGCAUGCCUGAUGUGGCCAUCGCAUAGAUCCUGCGCUCCUGAAAGAAAAAGUCCCAGAUGGUCAGGGACUAUGCUCACCUCAGCCCUUCCAAGAAAGUGGAGGGAAGACAUGACUUGGGUGGUAGGCAGAACUGGGUUCACCACUCCCGAAGAGCUGGUUACUGGCUAAGGUAUUUUAAACAAAUGUCUUCAUUUCUAAGCCUUAAUUUCUCAGCUCUAAAAUACUACUGAGUUUUUAAGAGCCUGCUAAAACUCUUAAAAUUAAGUCAUUAAUGUAUAAUAUAAUGCAUAAAUACAAAUAAAUGUGUAAUAUAAGCAGGA